rnacentral:rRNA from 1 species
GCAGAUUCGAUUUUCUGCCACCGAAUACAUUAGCAUGGGAUAAUGGAAUAGGACCCUGUCCUCCUAUUUUCAGUUGGUUUUGGCAGCGCGAGGACUAGGGUAAUGAUUAAUAGGGAUAGUUGGGGGCAUUAAUAUUUAAUUGUCAGAGGUGAAAUUCUUGGAUUUAUGAAAGAUUAACUUCUGCGAAAGCAUCUGCCAAGGAUGUUUUCAUUAAUCAAGAACGAAAGUUAGGGGAUCGAAGACGAUCAGAUACCGUCGUAGUCUUAACCAUAAACGAUGCCGACCAGCGAUUAGGAGACGUUGAAUACAAAACACCACCAUCGGCGCGGUCGCCCUUGGCGUUCGUGUUCACGCACGGGCGCGAGGGCGGUUUAGCCCGAUGGCACCGGUGAAUGACUCCCUAACAGCUUGUGAGAAA